GACGAACGCUGGCGGCGUGCUUAACACAUGCAAGUCGAACGGAGUGGCGAACGGGUGAGUAACACGUGGGUGAUCUGCCUUGCACUUCGGGAUAAGCUUGGGAAACUGGGUCUAAUACCGGAUAGUGCAAGAUGAGCCCGCGGCCUAUUAGCUUGUUGGUGGGGUAUUGGCCUACCACGGCGCCGACGGGUAGCCGGUCUGAGAGGGGGUCCGGACACAUUGGGACUGAGAUACGGACCAGAAUCCAACGGGAGGCAGCAGUGGGAAAUAUUGAGCAAUGGGCGGAAGCCUGAUGCAGAGACGCCGCGUGGGGGAUGAAGGCCUUCGGGUUGUAAACUCCUUUCGACAGGGACGCGGUACCUGGAGAAGAAGCACCGGCUAACUACGUGCCAGCAGCCGCGGUAAUAC
rnacentral:rRNA from 1 species